rnacentral:rRNA from 1 species
AGUGAACGCUGGCGGCAGGCCUAACACAUGCAAGUCGAGCGGCAGCGCGGGGCAACCUGGCGGCGAGCGGCGGACGGGUGAGGAAUGCAUCGGAAUCUACCCUGUCGUGGGGGAUAACGUAGGGAAACUUACGCUAAUACCGCAUACGACCGAGAGGUGAAAGUGGGGGACCGCAAGGCCUCACGCGAUUGGGUGAGCCGAUGCCGGAUUAGCUCGUUGGCGGGGUAAAGGCCCACCAAGGCGACGAUCCGUAGCUGGUCUGAGAGGAUGAUCAGCCACACUGGGACUGAGACACGGCCCAGACUCCUAUGGGAGGCAGCAGUGGGGAAUAUUGGACAAUGGGCGCAAGCCUGAUCCAGCCAUGCCGCGUGUGUGAAGAAGGCCUUCGGGUUGUAAAGCACUUUUGUUCGGGAAGAAAUCGUGCGGAUUAAUACUUCGUACGGAUGACGGUACCGAAAGAAUAAGCACCGGCUAACUUCGUGCCAGCAGCCGCCGUAAUAC